rnacentral:rRNA from 1 species
AUGGAGCACAACCGCGCCUAUGGCGGCACUGCAUUGAAGCUUCGACGGCGGCAUCGGUUGCUGCAAUGGGAGAUGACGGCAGCCGGCGUGGAGCACCACCGUGCGGUGGGGCGCUAUAGUGAAGCAUGCGGUGGUCGUUGGGGUGCUGCGAUGGAGCACCGCCGUGCCGGUGGUGGCACUGCACUGAAAUUUUUCCGGCGGCCAACGAAUACGGCGAUGGGAGAUGCCAUGGCAGCCGGUGCUGCAAUGGAGCACCACCACGCGGCGAGGGGCUGCAGUGAAGCACGCGGCGGCCGUCCGGGUGCUGCGAUGGAGCACGGCCACGCCGGUGACGGCGAGCUUCCCGGGCGCCCGUCGGUGGAGCGUCGCUGCGCUGCCGAUAAGGGGGCACGACUGCUGCUAUCUGCCAGGCGGCGCUGCUUCCUCACGGCGAGUCGACGACAUGGUCGUUGUUUUUUUGCUAUGGCUGUGAUCAUAGAAGAAAGCCCCGUCCGACGUGUUGACUAG